rnacentral:lncRNA from 1 species
AUUUCAAAAAUCAAAUUUACAUUAAUCAUGACGUUAAAGAUAACUAAAAGCUUCAAUCUAUGUCUAGAAUCAAAUUCCUUUAGUUGUUAUACCUAGGUCAGUGAUUUCAAUUAGCUCAGAUUUAAAAACGAAAUUUAAUAACAAUUAGAAGAAAAAAGAUAUAACACAACCCUCCAAUCAAAAACCAAUGUCAACAUCAUCAAUUUUUUUUUUUAUUAAAGUAGAAAACAAAUGAACGAACAUAGCAAGAGCAACAAAUUGCGGUGUCGUAGGUGGUUAUGUGUGGAUGUGAGAGAGGAUAUAGAUGAAAGAAAAACAAAUUGAUAAGUGAGGAAGGUGGAUUAGAAUUAGGUGAGUGCUUUACUAGAGAAUGUUGGAGUGAAAGAGAUGAAAGAGAAAGAAAAGAGAGAAACAAGGGAUGAGAGAAGAGAGUAAGGGUUUGAGUUUUAUUUUUUAGUUUUAAGAAUGAAAAUUAUUUAAAAUAACAAACCUU